GACUCUGUAGUGAAGUUCAUAAUGAGUUGCAAACUCGUUGAUGUACACUAAAGUGUGCCGGGGUCU
rnacentral:tRNA from 7 species